GUGGAUUAGUGGUCAGAGCAUCCGCCUUGGAUGUGGGAGAUCAUGGGUUCAAUCCCAUGGUUCCA